CCUACGGGCGACAGCAGUGGGGAAUAUUGCGCAAUGGGGGGAACCCUGACGCAGCCAUGCCGCGUGAAUGAAGAAGGCCUUCGGGUUGUAAAGUUCUUUCGGUGAUGAGGAAGGUGAUAAGAUUAAUACCCUUAUUAAUUGACGUUAGUCACAGAAGAAGCAUCGGCUAACUCCGUGCCAGCAGCCGCGGUAAUACGGAGGAUGCGAGCGUUAUCCGGAUUUAUUGGGUUUAAAGGGUGCGCAGGCGGUCUGUUAAGUCAGCGGUCAAAGCCCGGGGCUCAACCCCGGCCCGCCGUUGAAACUGGCAGUCUCGAGUUGGAGAGAAGUAUGCGGAAUGCGCGGUGUAGCGGUGAAAUGCAUAGAUAUCGCGCAGAACUCCGAUUGCGAAGGCAGCAUGCCGGCUCCACACUGACGCUGAGGCACGAAAGCGUGGGUAUCGAACAGGAUUAGAUACCCGAGUAGUC
rnacentral:rRNA from 1 species